AAGGGACGAUUGUAGACUUUCAGUUGUGAUUGCCCAUAUGAUACACAUACAUCGGCAGAGACAUCGUAGUUAUCGAUGGCGUCAGGAAUUUCUUUCGAAAGUUGAGCAUUCACAGCUUUACAAGCAACUGAAGAUGAGCCACUUAUUUGCUCUCUGGCGAGCUGUGAAGUGUUGCAAAUUGUAGUGACAAGUUUAUAAGUAGGAUCUGAUAUCAACCCAUGAGACCAGUAGUAAUCACCCCGUGAGUUCAUGUCUGUAUUGAAAUCCAACAGAGGAUUUCCUAUAGCUAUGCUUUUCAAAUUGAAUUUUAAUCCUGACCGGGCAAUUAGCUUUGCAAGUUGUGGUACGUAGUGACCU
rnacentral:misc_RNA from 1 species